AAAGCUCGCACACCGCAACAGAGCAGCCCCCGCUCGCCACAACUAGAGAAAAACCCCUGCGCAGCAACGAAGACCCAGCACAGCCAAAAAAAAGCUGAUCCACAAGGAACCUGUUAAAUUCAUAUAAUAGAAUCAUACAGCUAUAAAAAUGACGCAGAUCUAUCGUUAAUGACAUGAAAAGAUGUCUGAGAGAAAAACCUAUUUCUGAAGUUAUAGAAGAGCAGAACAGAAAGAUUAAGCUUUGUCUACCACCACAAGACAAAAACGGUGUGUUCUUUGCAAGGUUCAGGCAGUAGUUCCUAGGGGUGGGGAUAGGGGGGGUGUGGACUCUUUUCUCAGCAGGCCCCACCCAUUUUCUUCUCCAGCAAAGCAGACGCCAGCACUCUCUGCGACGCCUAUAGGAAGAGCUAAAUAACCUUCUUCUGGAAUGAUGUGACCUGGGCACACGUAAUUAAGAGGAGGCUGGGGUUCUUUAUAAAAGAAUCUUUGCUAUGAUAAAUAAAGACAACCAACUGUUUUUUAAAUUUUUUAUUUGGUGUUAACUCCACAAGAAAACAAAAAACCAGUUACUCUGGUGUACGUGAAAUCAGAACAAUACAACCACGGGGAAAAAAAAUAGCCCAGGAAUGGAAAACUGAUACUUCAGUGCUAUGGAUAUGCAAUGCGCUUCAUACCACAGUGCGUUUCAGCGUUUUGCCAACUUUUUAAAAAAUGCUUUUUCUCUGUGAUCAUCCAUUGACAAAACUGAAAACCAUACUUUCAGCUCUGUCGCUGAAAGCCUCUGGGCUUCAGCCCCUUAGCUAUGAAAACCAAUAAAUACAUAAUCUGUCAACCCCCUUUGCCCACCUGUAAUCCAUUCCCAUUCCCCGUGGGGGGUGCGGUGUCUUCCCACAGCGUGUAAGGGAGUCCGCACCUUGACCACCUGGAGCCCUUUCGUGACAAAAAGCAGCUGUCCAAAAUCAACUGAGCUAAAGGUUGUGUCUGAAAUAUAUUUAUUUGGUCUCGGCUACAUAAGCAACGAUUUCUAGGAUGAUCGUCACUGUAGUGAUUGUAGGAAUUUACAACUUCCAAUUCUUUUUUGCCUUUGCUGUUAAAUUAUAUUUCAGUGCAGGUGCUAAUCAAUUUUUAGGAAGCUCUGGAAGAAAGAAAAAUACAUAUAACCUUAUAAAGUCUGUAAAUAAAUAACAGCAACAUAAAACCUUACACGCGCACACACGCACACACACACAAACCCACUUUAAAGUGUCAAAGAUGUGCUGUAUAAAAACAAACCCUGACCUGUGGUGAGACCAAGCCCAACGGCCCGUCAGGUUCCCCACAGUGAGGACAGACAGCGCCGGGGGUGACCCCACAGCCCUGGGUGGAGUUGUCUGUGUCAUCAAUUAAGAAAAAGGCAACAAAACCCAACGCUCGAAGCAAAUCAUGUAUUUCUCAGCCAGUUCAGCUCCCAGCUAGUAAGUUAUGUGUUUACUGCCCGCC